GGGGUUGUAGCUCAGUGGUAGAGUGCUCACCUAGCAUGUGUGAAGCCCUGGGUUCAAUCCUCAGCACCA
rnacentral:tRNA from 1 species